rnacentral:rRNA from 1 species
UACGUAGGUGGCAAGCGUUGUCCGGAAUUAUUGGGCGUAAAGCGCGCGCAGGUGGUUUCUUAAGUCUGAUGUGAAAGCCCACGGCUCAACCGUGGAGGGUCAUUGGAAACUGGGGAACUUGAGUGCAGGAGAGAAGAGUGGAAUUCCACGUGUAGCGGUGAAAUGCGUAGAGAUGUGGAGGAACACCAGUGGCGAAGGCGGUGAUCUGGGCCGACACUGACGCUGUAGAGCGAAAGCGUGGGGAGCGAACAGG